rnacentral:rRNA from 1 species
UCUGGUUGAUCCUGCCAGUAGUGAUAUGCUUGUUUCAAAGAUUAAGCCAUGCAUGUCUAAGUAUAAGCGAACUUAUACAGUGAAACUGCGGAUGGCUCAUUAAAACAGUUUGAAUUUAUUUGAUGAAUGUAUGAGAAUACUACUUGGAUAACCGUAGUAAUUCUAGAGCUAAUACAUGCAACGACGCCCGACCGUUUCACUACGGAAGGGCUGUAUUUAUUGGAUACCAAAACCAUCCUUCCCUCGGGAAGUUUUGUUUGAUGAUUCACAAUAACUGAUCGGAUCGCCACUGUGGUGGCGACAGGUCAUUCAACAUUCUGCCCUAUCAGCUUUCGAUGGUUGUGUAGUGGACAACCAUGGCCAUAACGGGUAACGGAGAAUCAGGGUUCGAUUCCGGAGAAGGAGCUUGAGAAUUGGCUACUACAUCUAAGGAAGGCAGCAGGCGCGCAAAUUACCCAAUCCCGAUUCGGGGAGGUAGUGACAAAAAAUAACAAUACCGGGCCUUUUUGGGCUUGGUAAUUGGAAUGAGGGAGAGUUAAACGGACCAUCGAGUAUCCAUUGGAGGGCAAGUCUGGUGCCAGCAGCUGCGGUAAUACCAGCUCCAAUAGCGUAUAUUAAAGUUGUUGCAGUUAAAAAGCUCGUAGUUGGACUUGUGUGCGCUGUCCGCGGGUGGCCUGCGCCCAAAAGGGCGUUUCGGUUCGGCCCCGGUGGCGCCUUGAAAUCUGCAGCUGGGGGACGUUGGCCUUAACUGGUCGGCGACCGCACGCCGGCUGCUCGGUUACUGUGAGAAAAUUAGAGUGUUCAAGGCAGGCAUUGGGUGCAAUUGAAUACAUUAGCAUGGAAUAAUAAAAUAUGGCUCCUGCCGUAUUUUGUUGGUUUUGACUGGUGGGAGUAAUGAUUGAUAGGGACGGUUGGGGGUGCUAGUAUUGAGCGGCCAGAGGUGAAAUUCAUGGAUUCGCUCAAGACUAACUUAUGCGAAAGCAUUCACCAAGGACGUCCUCUUUAAUCAAGAACGAAAGUUGGGGGAUCGAAGACGAUCAGAUACCGUCGUAGUCUCAACCAUAAACUAUGUCGACUUGGGAUCGGCGGUAGUUUUUUCAUUAAGACACUGUCGGGACCACGGGAGAAAUCAAAGUGUCUGGACUCUGGGGGAAGUAUGGUCGCAAGGCUGAAACUUGAAGGAAUUGACGGAAGGGCACCACCAGGAGUGGAGCCUGCGGCUUAAUUUGACCCAACACGGGGAAACUUACCAGGUCCAGAGAUGUAGAGGAUUGACAGAUUGAAGCUCUUUCUUGAUCACUUCGGUGGUGGUGCAUGGCCGUUCUUAGUUGGUGGA